rnacentral:sRNA from 1 species
AUCGAAACAAUUCAACUUUUGUUGAAUCUUAACUUUAAAAAUAUAGAACAGCUAGAUGUGAAACAGUUAAAUACUAAAAGUAUGAUGAACGCAAUCGCGCAGGAUCAUGCACUUUUAUUUGUAUUCAUUCCUUUUAUGCCGCAAGAUAGCAUUGCUGAGAAUUGUUGAACUUGUUUUACAUAAUAUUUCAGAUGUACACCUCGCAUAACUUAAAAAAGAUUUUACUGUCACAGUGGCAGAUGAAAGUAUUUUAAGAACCACUUAAAAGCAUGAUUUUUCCCAGUAAUGAAAUGCUAUACUUCUGCCAUGAUGUAAAUUUUGUAUUUAUACACACCCACUAAAUUCAAAACUUUUGAAGCUACUUACUUGUAUGCAAUUUUCACUAUUCAUUUCGAUAUCAAAUCAUGUAUUUUAAACAUUUUGUUAGUAGAAGUAUUAAAUUUCAAUAUUAUAAAUAUUUUCCAGCAAUUAAUAUACCUUCUAUUUUAUAGAACUUGAACUGGGUUUAAAAUGGUGCUUAUUUAUUUUCUUUAGUACAUUCUUACAUGUAGGAUAUCUCUUGCAUAAUAAAUGUGGUUAAAAUAACUAGGUAAUCUAAUAGAAAAAAACCUUGUUUGGCAUGUUCUCAUAGCAGCUGCUACAUUUUAAAUCUAUAACCUGUUACAUUAAAGUUUAAAUCAAAGAUUUCUAAACUUAACUUUAAUAAUCUCUCUCACAACCUUAAUAAAUUUUGUAUUUACACCCACCCAGUAAAUUCAAAACUUACAACAUGACACUUCCUUUUACGAAUGCCAAUUUAUACCUCUAUUAAAAUCAAAUUGUGAUAUAUUAUUCACAAUAUUGAAUACAUCUUUCAAAAAUGUGCAAACCUCAUUUGUGCCCCAACCACGUGCGUCAUUUUUUCGUGUUUUAAAAAAGAGACACCUAUUACAUAUGAUCACGUGAUGCUGUUAAAACGCCCGUUUCUUGCGACGUGUCAAUGAUCGAUGUAAUAAACUAUACAACAAAAUUUGAUCUGCACAGAAGUUACAGUCGGGCACGUGUCAUGAAGCCCUUCGGCCUUUAUGAUAUAUUUGAUCACGUACCGAACGUAAUGAUCACCCCCCCCCCCCCCAAACUUACCUAAAAGUCAAAGAAUGGUUUCUUAUUACUUAUAUUUCAUCAUUUUUCAAUUAUUGUAAGAACAGUUAAUGAUAUUUUUACAUUGAUUUUAAUUAUCAUACAAACCCGUUUGUGCCCAAACAGCACACGUUGACACAUAUCGAUUUUCAAAGUGUGCAUUACCACGCGGCGCAAAGCAACUAUGUACAUUGUACUUAUGUUAUACACGCACAUUUUAGGCAAUAUGUCAAUGAUUUAUUGAAUACUAAGACCGAAAUGUAUUUGGCUUUUUUCAAAGGUAGAUAUUUCGUCUUUCACGAAUCUUGAAGUUUAUUUUGUUACUCGUCUCUGUCCUUACUGAAAAAUCAAAUAAAUUGUACAUUUGCUUAUUGAUAUUUACAUCCUACUGAGUAUGAUUCCCUCUACUAUAUUGUAUUUCUUACGGAAACUUAUAGUUAAUUCAUAGCUCUAUUGAAACAGUCAGAUUGAAAUCUACAAGCCCCGUUUAAUAUAUAUACAUGUAUAUCGAUUGGUUAAAACCUACAGCUACCCAAGAACAAAUCACAGACUGCACGAAAUAAUCAUGAUAUUAGACUCUCAUUCCCAUAGGAGACGAAUUGGUUGUUUCUUUCAGCUAACGCGCUGAUGUACAUCAACAGUAAAAUAGUGAAUUUUACUUACUUUCUUCAAUCAUUUCAUUAAUUUGUUAAAAGAAAGAUGUAAAUGUAAAACAACAAAACGCUGUCCUUAAAGAUCCACGCGGGUUAUGAAGGUAGCGAUCUUUGCAUUUUUUUUACAUAAACCGCUGACGCUGUUUAUGUAUUUUUUUCUGCGAUAUCGCCACCUUCAUAUUCCGCAUGAAUCCCCCCCCCCCCCCAAAAAAAAGCAUGUUAUUGUUUAAAUGAUAUAUACAUGUACUUGCACUUUAGUUUAUCAGGCAUAAACAUAUUUUCCAUGUUAUCCGUUUGCUGUUUAUUUCAAAGAAAAAUAAACAUAACAG